AUACGUAGGUGACAAGCGUUAUCCGGAUUUACUGGGCGUAAAGGGCGUGUAGGCGGUCUUGCAAGUCAGAAGUGAAAUUCCUGAGCUCAACUCGGGCGCUGCUUCUGAAACUGCAGGACUUGAGUGCUGGAGGGGAUAGCGGAAUUCCUAGUGGAGCGGUAAAAUGCGCAGAUAUUAGGAAGACCACCGGUGGCGAAGGCGGCUAGCUGGACAGUAACUGACGAUGAGGCGCGAAAGCGUGGGGAGCAAACAGGAUUAGAUACCCUGGUAGUCCACGCCGUAAACGAGGAAUACUAGGUGUAGGGGGUAUCGGCUCCCUCUGUGCCGCAGUUAACACAAUAAGUAUUCCGCCUGGGGAGUACGGCCGCAAGGUUGAAACUCAAAUGAAUUGACGGGG
rnacentral:rRNA from 1 species